CCUUUUCCGGCCUUGUUUCAGCCAUGGAUACCAUGCGGUUCCUGUGUUCUCAUUCCCUUUCUGAUCACAAACUCUGUGGAGGGGAAGGAGUCCACGGUGAACACAGUCCUAAGCAGAGAGAUCGAAAAGUAGAAGGCCUUUCUUCUCUCCCCUGUCACUGGCAUCUCAUCUUGAGGAUUCUGAUGGUCACUAGCGGUGGUUCCACAUGUGAGAUCAAGAUUGAGCAAGCUUUGGUUUGUGGGAAAGCAAAAGAACGAUACUUGUCCCUGCUUUGGUUCGGUGCCCUUUUUUUUGUCGUUUUGGAGGGUCUCUCUUGCAUCAAGUCGUUGUUUGAGAAGGCUCCUGCCCCUCUCUUGAAGCUGAAGACUUUCUCAGAAUUCUUGCUGCUUCAGUAGCGUUUGCGGUCUUUCUGGAUAUUUUGCUGUAGUAUUAUUGCUGAAUUGCGUGUUCUUCCUUCCUCUUUGGAGGGUGCACGAGGAGAAAGAUGCCAUCUUGUUCUUCUACUUUGAACCAAAGCUGAGCUACUACAGGUCGCGUUUUUCUCCUUUAACUUCCCUUCCCGUUCAAGACAUGGCGGAGGAAUCUAGAGGAUGCAAAGGUCGGCCUCAGUUGCUCGAUCAAUGGAGCGUUCAGGAAAGUAGCAGUGGGAAAAGUAACUACGAAACUACGGAGGAGAGAAAUCUGGAACUUAAGGUUUGACUCCCAGGAGAAGAAGAUUGGUCAGCAGCGCAGGAGAAGAGAGAACACCGUGCUGAGUCUGCCCUGUCUCUUCGGCACAUCCCUAAGGCUCCUGAAACCACCAACGUUAAUGGUUCCUCUGGAUCCAAAAAAGGGUUCUCGGGUGCCGAUGAGUCGAAAACAGAUGGAACACAAACAGAUAAAACGACUUUCCAGCAACAGCAACAGCAGCAAUUUGGGUUCCUCCAGUUGCAGGCAAAAGGAUAGGACUGCGUACAGAGGACAGGUGGGAGCGCUGAGCGGCAGAGCCUCGAGGAGAACGGCUGUGGGCUGCGAGCUUCAUGCAGCCGUAGCAGCAGCGGCUCCCAGUCAAGGUAGUGGUCGUAAUAGUCCUCCUGCAAUCCAUGCUGAACUCGUAGAUUGUGAAGAGAAUUUAUGUUCGUCUGUCUUGUUCUAUGUACUCAAAGAUGUCAGAGGAACAAUUAUGCUGGCUCAACGUGUAAUGUUAGGAAGUUCUUGAUGUUAAGAGGAACAAUUAUGUUCCUCGCUGUCCUUCUGGAGGUUCUUGAACUCUCAUUACUUGUGUUUAUGAAAGCAGAGCUGCCUCUGCGCCUGCUGUUGGCUGGCCUCCUAUCCGAUCUUUCAGAAAGAAUCUUGCUGGUGUUGUCAAAGCCUCUGCUGAAUCUCCCGGUGGGAGCUCAGAGGCUUAAAAAGCUUGAGAAUGACAAGAAGAGCUCGUUUGUGA